UGGUUAUGAAACAAGAGGAGGAGCUUCAGACAGGUGAGGGCGUUAAAGUGAACGUAUGAAGUCAGACUGCCAGACGCCAUCUUACACCUGGGCAGAGAGGAGGAGGACAACGGUGUUACUGGUUUAUCUCUCAGAUGGAGAAGAUGAGUGGUUUAAAAGAUGAGGAAGAGGACAGAUGUCUGUCUCUGAAGAGUGAGCGGUCUAAAGAACACUUCCAGACUUCGUUAACGAUCCUGGACCCUCGGACACAGAACGGAGAGCAGAGUCUCCAUUCUCCAGCUGUCUGUCUCUGAAGAGUGACCAGUCUAAAGGCUCUCCUCUGUACUUCAGUGA